CGCGAUCUACACACGAUGUUUUUUUAUAUCAACUUGCUUUGGUCUGGCGCUAGUCGGGCCGGAGGUAAACACAAACAACCUUUUAUUUAUUUGUCAACCAACAUAUUAAUGUUAAAACUUUCAACAACGGAUCUCUUGGUUCUCGCAUCGAUGAAGAACGCAGCGAAAUGCGAUAAGUAAUAUGAAUUGCAGAUAUUCGUGAAUCAUCGAAUCUUUGAACGCACAUUGCGCCCUCUGGUAUUCCGGAGGGCAUGCCUGUUUGAGCGUCAUUUCUCUCUCAAGCCUCCGGGUUUGGUGUUGAGUGAUACUCCCAGUCAGACUCGGCGUUUUCUUGAAAGGCCUCGGCGUGAGCUACGACAAUGUAUUAGGUUCAUCCAACUCGUUGUCAGCAGCGCACGCGCCCUUACAAAUCAACCAAAGUUUGACCUCAAAUCAGGUAGGACU
rnacentral:rRNA from 2 species